AUCUCCAAACCAUCCCCACACUUGUCAGUGGAAAAAGUGUCUUCCGUGAAACCAGUCCCUGGUGCCAAAAAGGUUAGGGACUGCCGGUUUAAAUAACCAAAUGCUAAAAGAACUGGCAUAGAAGUAAAUGGGCUGCUGCUUUAUUUUUAGGCUGUUCUUUUUAGAGAGCAAUGACAGUUAUUUCCAAGUUUGUCAUUAGAAAAUAAUAUUAGGUUGGAGCAAAAGUAAUUGCAGUAUUUGCCAUUGCUUUCAAUGGUAAAAGGCACAAUUACUUUUGCAGCAACUUAAUAUUAUAAAUUUGUUCUUAAAGUGUAUUUUUGAUAAGAAAGCCGUUUUGUUUUUCCUUCUGUUAAUUUUUUGUUUUUUUCUUGGUCGAGACAGAGUCUUGCCAUGCUGCCCAGGCUGGAGUGCAGUGGUGUGAUCUCGGCUCACUGCAGCCUCCACCUCCUGGGCUCCAGCAGUCCUCCCACCUCAGCCUCCCUAAGAGCUGAGACUACAGUGCACAGCCAGAGGACAACACAUCACACACAAGAAACAGUUGUGCUCAUGUGAUGGGGGCCUCAGCACUAGGAAGGAGUGGACUGUUGGCGCACGCAGCAGCUUGAAUAAAUCUGAAAGUCACUACGCUGCGUAAGAGAAGCCAAAUAAAGCGCAUGCUGUGUACAGAGGGUGUCGAGAAUGCCUCCUACGUGACGGAAAGCAGAUCCGUGGUUCCCUGCAGACUGGCAGGAGCAGAUUCCAAAGGCACAGGAAGAAGCUUGCAGUACAAAGAUAAAAAUCUAAAGUGGUUGCUGUGGAGGACAGGGGUCAGUGGUGGAAGUGAGACCGAAAUAGACUCUGAAGUAAUAUCUGGACUUUGAAAUUGUUUCCUUAAUGACAACAAAAAAGGGAGUAAUCCUACCCACUGUAAGAGUCAUGACUCUUGAUUGCAGCUGACAGAAACUCAUGACAGCCUGCUUUAGAUGAAGGGGGAGAGAAGGACUGGAAGAAUCUUGGAGUUGGGAA
rnacentral:lncRNA from 10 species